rnacentral:rRNA from 1 species
UUUGAUCCUGGCUCAGAGUGAACGCUGGCGGCAGGCCUAAUACAUGCAAGUCGAACGGCAGCACAGCAGAGCUUGCUCUGUGGGUGGCGAGUGGCGGACGGGUGAGGAAUACGUGGGAAUCUGCCCAGUCGUGGGGGAUAACGUAGGGAAACUUACGCUAAUACCGCAUGCGCCCUUCGGGGGAAAGCCGGGGACCUUCGGGCCUGGCGCGAUUGGAUGAGCCCACGUCGGAUUAGCUAGUUGGCGGGGUAAAGGCCCACCAAGGCGACGAUCCGUAGCUGGUCUGAGAGGAUGAUCAGCCACACUGGAACUGAGACACGGUCCAGACUCCUACGGAAGGCAGCAGUGGGGAAUAUUGGACAAUGGGCGCAAGCCUGAUCCAGCCAUGCCGCGUGAGUGAAGAAGGCCCUCGGGUUGUAAAGCUCUUUUGUCCGGAAAGAAAAGCGCCGGGUUAAUACCCUGGUGUCCUGACGGUACCGGAAGAAUAAGCACCGGCUAACUUCGUG